rnacentral:rRNA from 1 species
CUUCUUUUUCCACCGGAGCUUGCUCCCCGGAAAAAGAGGAGUGGCGAACGGGUGAGUAACACGUGGGUAACCUGCCCAUCAGAAGGGGAUAACACUUGGAAACAGGUGCUAAUACCGCAUAACAAUCGAAACCGCAUGGUUUUGAUUUGAAAGGCGCUUUCGGGUGUCGCUGAUGGAUGGACCCGCGGUGCAUUAGCUAGUUGGUGAGGUAACGGCUCACCAAGGCCACGAUGCAUAGCCGACCUGAGAGGGUGAUCGGCCACAUUGGGACUGAGACACGGCCCAAACUCCUACGGGAGGCAGCAGUAGGGAAUCUUCGGCAAUGGACGAAAGUCUGACCGAGCAACGCCGCGUGAGUGAAGAAGGUUUUCGGAUCGUAAAACUCUGUUGUUAGAGAAGAACAAGGAUGAGAGUAACUGUUCAUCCCUUGACGGUAUCUAACCAGAAAGCCACGGCUAACUACGUGCCAGCAGCCGCGGUAAUACGUAGGUGGCAAGCGUUGUCCGGAUUUAUUGGGCGUAAAGCGAGCGCAAGCGGUUUCUUAAGUCUGAUGUGAAAGCCCCCGGCUCAACCGGGGAGGGUCAUUGGAAACUGGGGGACUUGAGUGCAGAAGAGGAGAGUGGAAUUCCAUGUGUAGCGGUGAAAUGCGUAGAUAUAUGGAGGAACACCAGUGGCGAAGGCGGCUCUCUGGUCUGUAACUGACGCUGAGGCCCGAAAGCGUGGGGAGCAAACAGGAUUAGAUACCCUGGUAGUCCACGCCGUANACGAUGAGUGCUAAGUGUUGGAGGGUUNCCGCCCUUCAGUGCUGCAGCUAACGCAUUAAGCACUCCGCCUGGGGAG